UCUCUGGGAGUUUUUCCUGAGGAUAAAUGGAAGGACCAGCAGCCAGUCAAGGCUCCCUCAUGUUCUGCAAACCACCAGAGGGUGGAGCUGGACAUCAUCCCCACAAACACCACCUGUGAGACAGCAGAGAAAUGAUCUUCCCUUUAACAACCAGACAAACAAAAGCUUCCACAUGGCAGCAAAGAGAACACAAAUUCACAGUGCAACUAGAAAACUUCAGCUCUGCCUCUGGGAGAUGAAGCAUCAUGUCUGAACAACAAUGUGUGGAAAGCCUUACAGAAUACAGGAGCUGUCAGUUAUUUUUCCUACCGAGGUGAGCAAUGCAACCUGCCAGCUUGGUAAUCGCCACUCACAAUGAAGCUGAGGAGCUAGGAUACUUAAAAUCAUCAUUUCCAUAGCAUCUGCCAUCUAGAAGGG